UACGGAGGGGGCUAGCGUUGUUCAGAAUUACUGGGCGUAAAGCGCACGUAGGCGGCUUUGUAAGUUAGAGGUGAAAGCCCGGGGCUCAACUCCGGAAUUGCCUUUAAAACUGCAUCGCUAGAAUUGUGGAGAGGUGAGUGGAAUUCCGAGUGUAGAGGUGAAAUUCGUAGAUAUUCGGAAGAACACCAGUGGCGAAGGCGGCUCGCUGGGCCAUUCCUGACGCUGAGACGCGAAAGCUAGGGGAGCGAACAGG
rnacentral:rRNA from 1 species